GUUGUAAAGGUGGGGCACUAAUCUGAUAGGGCUGGUGUCCUUACAAGGUCAGGAAGAGAUCUCUCUCUCUCUCUCUCUCUCUCUCUCUGCCAAGUGAGGACACAGGAAGACGUGACCACGCAGGGAGAAGAUCGCCGUCUACAAGCCAGGAAGAGAGCCCUCACCAGCCCCUGACCCUGCUGGCACCCUGAUCGUGGACUUUCAGCCUGCAGAACUGUGAGAAAAUCAAUUUCUGUUGCUUAAGCCACCCAGGUGUUGGUAUUUUGUUAUGGCAGCCUGAGCAGACUGAGACAAGUACCUACUGCUCGAGACGUGGGUCUGAAGGGAGAGAAAUCCCCUCAUCUCUGAUUCUGUGAUUUGGUUUGCGAGCUGCAAGAAUAUGAGUGAAGGGAAGUGUUGAAAGAGGAUAAAAGAAGGAAUAACCCAUUAUCUAAUCACUUUGGAAAAAAUGAGAAGUUUGAGGUCUACUCUGCUGUUAUAUUCUAAUUGGAAGAGAAAUUUAACUGACAAGACUUAACACAAAAGACAAUAAACAGAAUUUUUUAGGUGGAGAAACAUAACUUGAAGAAAAAGAAGACUCUUGCUCAUCGAUUGUUCACUUUUCGUAAAUUGCAGCUACCUAGAGUUGUACAGUUGACAUGGCUCUUUCACAUGCAUCAUCUGAUUUGAUCCCCAAAACAAGCUCAAUGGGGCAAGAAACAGCUUGAUUAAAUGAUUUACCAAAGGUUACUUGGCUGGUAAAUGGCAGCACAGAAACUGGAAUGAGGAUUUUAGUUCAUCUAGUUUUUAAAAAAUCUAUUGUGUACCUAUUAUGGGUAAGCAUUGUAUUAGAUCUUGGAGACAAAAUGUGGACAGACAAAGAGGGAACAGACAGCAAACAAAAUUUGUUUAUGACAGUUUUGAUAGAUGCAAAUGCAAGAAAAGUGAAGAUUGUGAUGAAAAUUUAUAAGAAGGUCAUACCUUUGCCUGGAGAUGGGGUUUGGGUCAAGAGAGGCUGGCCCAAAGAAGUGACAUUUAUGUUCCCAGACCAGUGUCGUGGCUCCUAGUUUAACUAGAAUUCAAUACCAAUGGGCUCUCCACUCUAGUAAGAUAGCUUACCAUAGCAAAAUAGGGAGAAAUGAGAAAUACAACAGAUGGUAGUAUGUUUUUAUCAAGCUAAAUGUAUUUAAAAUAAAGGUCUGUCUUAUUUCUCAGAUUGUCUUUCCUAUUUAUGGGUUUAAACCACUCUUUCUUUUAUACAGUGAUUGUUACGGUAAAUAAAAUUUUUUUUAGUGAAUUGCUUGGGGCUAUAAAAAAUUUCAAA
rnacentral:lncRNA from 1 species